AUUGAACGCUGGCGGCGGGCCUAACACAUGCAAGUCGAACGAGUGGCGGACGGGUGAGUAAUGUCUGGGAAACUGCCUGAUGGAGGGGGAUAACUACUGGAAACGGUAGCUAAUACCGCAUACCAUCAGAUGUGCCCAGAUGGGAUUAGCUUGUUGGUGGGGUAACGGCUCACCAAGGCCACGAUCCCUAGCUGGUCUGAGAGGAUGACCAGCCACCCUGGAACGGAGACACUGUCCAGACUCCUACGGGAGGCAGCAGUGGGGAAUAUUGCACUAUGGGCGAAAGCCUGAGAGAGACAUGCCGCGUGUAUGAAGAGGGCCUUCGGGUUGUAAAGUACUUUCAGCGGGGAGGCGUUACCCGCAGAAGAAGCACCGGCUAACUCCGUGCCAGCAGCCGCGGUAAUUC
rnacentral:rRNA from 1 species